rnacentral:rRNA from 1 species
AAUCAACGCUGGCGGCGUGCCUAACACAUGCAAGUUGAGCGCUUAAGGGGGGCAACCCCCACGAGAGCAGCGAACGGGUGAGUAACGCGUGGGUGAUCUUCCUUCGAGUGGGGAACAACAUCGGGAAACUGGUGCUAAUUCCGCAUAACACCUUGAGACCAAGAGUCUUGAGAUCAAAGCCGGGGACCGUAAGGCCUGGCGCUUGAAGAUGAGCCCGCGUCCGAUUAGCUAGUUGGCGGGGUAAGUGGCCCACCAAGGCUUCGAUCGGUAGCCGGCCUGAGAGGGCGGACGGCCACACUGGAACUGAGACACGGUCCAGACUCUACGGGAGGCAGCAGUGGGGAAUUUUUCGCAAUGGGCGCAAGCCUGACGAAGCAACGCCGCGUGGAGGAUGAAGGUCUUCGGAUUGUAAACUCCUGUCGACCGGGACGAAUGCAUUCGACCUAAUACGUCGGAUUGUUGACGGUACCGGUGGAGGAAGCCACGGCUAACUCUGUGCCAGCAGCCG